GUCUAUGGCCAUGCCACCCUGAACAAGCCCGAUCUCAUCUGAUCUCAGAAGCUAAGCAGAGUUGGGCCGGGUUAGUACUUGAAUAAGAGACCACCUAGGAAGACCAGGUGCUGUAGACA
rnacentral:rRNA from 1 species